UCAAAGUCGAAGAAGAAAAAGAAGUUUGUUAGUCAACCAACUUCAAAUGAGCUCGUCUUCGGAGAUUUUUAUUUCGUCUACCUUAACUCUUUUCUCCUUUCAAGAGUUGUAGAUCUAUAGAUCUGUAAUAAUAGUGACAAAGAGUGAGUUUUUAAUCAUUUUCCUUGUCAUUUUUUUGCUUAUACUUGAUAACGUCUCUCUAAAUUUCUUGAAAGUUUGUAACUUUGAAGAACAUUUGGAAAGAGUAGCACAAUAUAGUUCAAAAAACUUAACAGAAUGUUUGGAGGGACAAAGAGAACAUAAUCCAAGACACAUUUGAAUGGGAAAUACUUUGUGACUAUAAAAGAUGUAAGAGUCUGCUACUGAUUUGGAAAAAGAAGCUUUGAAUAUUUGUAUGAUUUGUCUACAAACAAUCUUGUCCACAAAAUUGUACAUAAAAUUUGUAAGACUUUAAGAUUUUU
rnacentral:lncRNA from 1 species